AGUGAACGCUGGCGGUAGGCCUAACACAUGCCAGUCGAACGGCAGCACAGUAAGAGCUUGCUCUUACGGGUGGCGAGUGGCGGACGGGUGAGGAAUACAUCGGAAUCUACUUUUUCGUGGGGGAUAACGUAGGGAAACUUACGCUAAUACCGCAUACGACCUACGGGUGAAAGCAGGGGAUCUUCGGACCUUGCGCGAUUGAAUGAGCCGAUGUCGGAUUAGCUAGUUAGCGGGGUAAAGGCCCACCAAGGCGACGAUCCGUAGCUGGUCUGAGAGGAUGAUCAGCCACACUGGAACUGAGACACGGUCCAGACUCCUACGGGAGGCAGCAGUGGGGAAUAUUGGACAAUGGGCGCAAGCCUGAUCCAGCCAUACCGCGUGGGUGAGGAAGGCCUUCGGGUUGUAAAGCCCUUUUGUUGGGAAAGAAAAGCAGCAGGUUAAUACCCCGCUGUUCUGACGGUACCCAAAGAAUAAGCACCGGCUAACUUCGUG
rnacentral:rRNA from 1 species